rnacentral:rRNA from 1 species
ACGGCUCAGUAACACGUGGAUAACCUACCCUAAGGCGGGAGAUAACCCCGGGAAACUGGGGAUAAUACCCCAUAGUCUAUGGAAGCUGGAAUGCUCUAUAGUUGAAAGAUUUAUCGCCUUAGGAUGGGUCUGCGGCCGAUUAGGUAGUUGUUGGGGUAACGGCCCAACAAGCCUUUGAUCGGUACGGGUUGUGGGAGCAAGAGCCCGGAGAUGGAUUCUGAGACACGAAUCCAGGCCCUACGGGGCGCAGCAGGCGCGAAAACUUUACAAUGCGGGAAACCGUGAUAAGGGAACUCCGAGUGCCCGUAAACGCGGGCUGUCCAUCUGCUUAAAAAACAGGUGAAGAAAGGGCCGGGCAAGACCGGUGCCAGCCGCCGCGGUAAUACCGGCGGCUCGAGUGGUGGCCACUAUUACUGGGCUUAAAGCGUCCGUAGCUUGGUUGUUAAGUCUCUUGGGAAAUCUGUCGGCUUAACCGACAGGCGUUUAAGGGAUACUGGCAAUCUAGGGACCGGGAGAGGUGAGAGGUACUCCAGGGGUAGGAGUGAAAUCCUGUAAUCCUUGGGGGACCACCUGUGGCGUAGGCGUCUCACCAGAACGGCUCCGACAGUGAGGGACGAAAGCUGGGGGAGCAAACCGGAUUAGAUACCCGGGUAGUCCCAGCCGUAAACGAUGCGCGUUAGGUGUAUCGGUGACCACGAGUCACCGAGGUGCCGAAGGGAAACCGUGAAACGUGCCGCCUGGGAAGUACGGUCGCAGGCUGAAACUUAGAGGAAUUGGCGGGGGAGCAC